rnacentral:rRNA from 1 species
GAUGAACGCUGGCGGCGUGCCUAAUACAUGCAAGUCGAGCGAACAGAUGAGGAGCUUGCUCCUCUGACGUUAGCGGCGGACGGGUGAGUAACACGUGGAUAACCUACCUAUAAGACUGGGAUAACUUCGGGAAACCGGAGCUAAUACCGGAUAAUAUAUUGAACCGCAUGGUUCAAUAGUGAAAGACGGUUUUGCUGUCACUUAUCGAUGGAUCCGCGCCGCAUUAGCUAGUUGGUAAGGUAACGGCUUACCAAGGCAACGAUGCGUAGCCGACCUGAGAGGGGGUACGGCCACACUGAAACUGAGACACGGUCCAGACUCCGACGGGAGGCAGCAGUAGGGAAUCUUCCGCAAUGGGCGAAAGCCUGACGGAGCAACGCCGCGUGAGUGAUGAAGGUCUGCGUAUCGUAAAACUCUGUUAUUAGGGAAGAACAAAUGUGUAAGUAACUAUGCACGUCUUGACGGUACCGAUACAGAAAGCCACGGCUAACUACUU